rnacentral:rRNA from 1 species
GACGAACGCUGGCGGCGUGCUUAACACAUGCAAGUCGAGCGGUAAGGCCCUUUUGGGGGUACACGAGCGGCGAACGGGUGAGUAACACGUGGGUGACCUGCCCUCAGCUCUGGGAUAAGCCUGGGAAACUGGGUCUAAUACUGGAUAUGACCUUUCCUCGCAUGGGGGUUGGGUGGAAAGUUUUCGGCUGGGGAGUGGGCCCGCGGCCUAUCAGCUUGUUGGUGGGGUGAUGGCCUACCAAGGCGACGACGGGUAGCCGGCCUGAGAGGGCGACCGGCCACACUGGGACUGAGACACGGCCCAGACUCCUACGGGAGGCAGCAGUGGGGAAUAUUGCGCAAUGGGCGGAAGCCUGACGCAGCGACGCCGCGUGGGGAUGACGGCCUC